rnacentral:ncRNA from 1 species
UAAAGUUUGAUUCUGACUUUCAAACCCGCUACCUCUAAGAAUUAUAUGCUACCUUUCACUCUUGGAGUAUAAGAGCAGUAAUUAAUAUUAGUCAUUAAUUAAUUAGAUCUAAUUAUAGGGGAAAUGAAAGGUUAAUCUUGUGCCAGCAUCCGCGGUCAUACAAGAUUUCAGAGUAGGUUAUUUAAGAAAAUUUCCUUUUCUUUUUGAAUUGAAUUUUAUCUCUCAAAAGGUGAAAUUUGUGCUUUGAUGUUUAAUUAUUAUUAGAGUGGACUAUGACAGCAUAAAAACUGGGAUUAGAUACCCCACUAUUCUGUCUAAUGUUCUAGGGUAGUAAUCUUUAAACCUAAAGAAUUUGGCGGUUUUUAAACUUACUAGAGGAACCUGUCCUGUAAUCGAUAGUCCACGAAUUUAUCUACCUACCUUAGUUAUCAGCUUAUAUACCGCCGUUUAGUGAACUAAAUUAAUAGCUUCUCUUAAUUAACUAGUUAAGCAAAUCAGGUCAAGGUGUAGCUUAUGGGUGGGAAGAGAUGGGUUACAAUGAUAUUUUAUACGGAUUCCCUUUCUUAGGUUAGGGUUGAAGGUGGAUUUAGAAGUAAAUAAUAGUCCUUUGAAGCAAGCUCUUAAAAAUGUACACAUCGCCCGUCGCUCUCUUGUCUGAAGAGAUAAGUCGUAACAAAGUAGAUAAACCGGAAGGUUUAUCUUGAAAGU